rnacentral:lncRNA from 1 species
GGUGCCUGGGAACCCUUCAGCCAGGUUUGCAGUCAAUCUCUUUCGUCUUUGUUGCUGAAACUUGGCCUCUGUCCACCGGUGCCAAAUAGAAACACACAGAGAGAGUUUUGGGUGAAGGGGAAAAAAAUUGCUUUAUUGCUUUGCCAGGCAAAGGAGGCCAUGGCAGGCUAAUGCCCUAAAGACUGUGCCCUUCCUUGGGAGAGAUUAGGAAGCGAUUUUUUAAGUUUGGGAAUAGAAAAUAGGGCCACAGAUAGGAUCUGGGUAGAUGCAAGCUUUCAUUCUUCUUCAAAGUAGGUGUUUAGUGACCCCAGGAACUGGUUCUGGUGGUCCUCUGCUCUGGUUUUCAUUUGUUGGGGGUGCAGAAAAACUCAAAGAUACUAUUAUGUAUAUUCCUUAAAGAGGGACCAGGACCCUUUCCCAAGGCUGCAUUAUUGUUUCUGGACAGUUCUUUCCUUGUCUCUGUGUCACCUCCCUUCCCCGAUUAGCAGCUGUUUGACCCUUCCCUUUGGAACUCAGGGAAGGCCAUGGAGGCUGAAGCUUAUUCCCUAAAAAUAAGAAAUGGGGGAAAUAGCAAGGCUUGUGCCCAGGAGCCCCACAGAGCUCAGUUUCAGCUUGACCAGCAAAAGACAGGAGGAAGUAACUGGGUUUAAAGUCAUCUGCCUAUGACUCCUUCCCUGUCCCUCAUUUUUAGCAUUGAGAGGUCAUUCUAAUUGCCCAGGAGCCCCACAGAGCUCAGUUUCAGCUUGACCAGCAAAAGACAGGAGGAAGUAACUGGGUUUAAAGUCAUCUGCCUAUGACUCCUUCCCUGUCCCUCAUUUUUAGCAUUGAGAGGUCAUUCUAAUUUUGGAAGGUAAAUGAAAAUCAUGCCUGUGUCUGGCAGUAUUAUUUAUUUGCAUAGCACAGAUGGACCUCGCCCCAUUUCCUGAACUGCCCCCAGCUUGACUCACUUCUCCCAGUAAUGCCUAGUUAUUCCCUCAAAGCUGAAACACAGGGACAAAUGGUGUGGCCAUAAAAUAAUUAUAUUGUUCUUUCUUUAAGAGCUAUUUUUGGAUGCAGACUUCUAAGUCUCUUUAAUUUUUCCAGCACAUUGAUAAAAUAUGCUCUAAAUACAUAUAGCCUCACCUUGGUAGCUCCCUAAUGUUAUUCCUUUUUUCGUUUUUGGCUGCACCAUGGCAUGAAAAAUUUCUCAAGCCAGGGAUCAAACCCCUGCCACAGCAGUGACAGCACCAGAUCCUUAACCAUUAGGCCACCAGGGAACUCCUCUAAUAUGGUUAUUUAGAAGGAAAGUGGUUUAAGGGUAACUUUAGCCAUGCUACUCCUAAAGCCGGAUUCUUGGCUCUCUUCAUUUAUUGAGGUAAAGGAGUAACCCCACUGAAUAAGGGCUCUAAAUUAAGCCAACUUGCCUUUUGCCUGGACAAACACCUGGGCACCAAUGCAACCCAUCUUGAAAAUCAGUACCAGAAGAUACCUGUUUCCAGGCUUCAAUCGAUUGGUUAAAGUUGCAUUAAUCCAGUGAGUGAACCAAACUAGCCUUAUUUUUUAAGAUUUUCCAGAAGGCUGAUUUGCUUAACUGGUUGUAUUUCUUGAGAAUGUGAUUCAUUCAUACUCAGCAGAGGAGGAAAGAAUCACAUUUGAAAGCCCACGUAAGGAGGAGUGAUUAAAACUCUAUUCUGUCUGGGAACCUUGUGUUUGCCAGUCUCAUGUGGAUGUUUUUGGCAUUUCUCUCUGGGGCAAGAGUUGGAGAUGAGGUUUUCUUUGGGGCUGCAAAUGGGGAUGUGAGGACAGCUUGCAGGUCCAGCCCAAGGCUCUGAGAAAGGGAUUUUCUGUUCUUUGAAGACAGGCAAGCAGGCCCUUUUUGGAUUGGGGAUAUGUGUUCCCUGACCAUGGGGAUUUGCAGCUAAAACCACGUUUCUGUGCCCUGCUCCAAGGUUGGCUGUGCGGCCUGGUGAAUCAGGGAAGGGGGUCUUUUCUAGUGAUGAAACCAAGCAGGGCCCUGCAGGGCCCACCCAGGUACAGAAGGCUUUCUGUGUCCUUAUACAGAACCAUCUGAUGUAUAUCUCUGAGCUCUUCUACAGGAACUAAAGCCCCACCCAGGGGCUUAGAACAUCCUGUUUAGAAAACACUCCAGCCUGCCUCUCUGUUACAGGCUUUUAUUGCAGCCCGAUACCUUGUUCUGACUUGUUCAUUCUCAUGUAUUCUGCACCUCAACCUGCAAUCCAGCUUGAUUUAGACACACACAUGUCUAGGUUCCAUUCAUUCCUUUAUUCGUUCACGCCUUUACAUAUUCCAACCAAUAUGUAUUAAGUGCCAACUAUGUGCCAAAUGCUCACUCAGUUAUCCAUUUAUAUGAAUCCAUUUUAUUCACUGAAAUUUGGGGGAAAACUGGGAAUGACAGGGGCUGGCCUCCGGAGAGAAGCAGGCAGGGGACAGGGCUGGGCUGGACUUACAAAAAUCUCAGUAAGCAGGGUGCAGGUGGACGGCUGGAGCUGGGGCUUCUGGAGACCAGGGUGUGGCUGUGGGCUGGCCCUGGGAGAAAGAGAGGAAAGGGUUGGGUCUUCUGUUGUACUGUGAUCCACUCCCAGGAUCCCUCUGAUCAUCAGCCCAGCAGCCAGAAUCAUAUAUGUUCAUUGUGACUGGGUUUCUUCUUGGGCAGAAUGAGAGGAGUGGAUUUUGCCUCUAGGUUGCCUGAGGGUGGAACUGCCUAUGCAGAGGCAGGAGCAGAGACAAGGGUGCCUCAAGGAAAUAGAGUUGGAUAUUACAGCUCUCAUGGGGAAGACAAGACACCCAUUCAAGGUGGUGCCACUGAGAGGCCUGAGCCAGGUUCAUCUAAUUUUUCUGAGGGCAAAGAAAUCCUUAAGUGACACCUUCCAAGUUUCAACAAGUUUUGAAUUAGUUAUAGCCCUAGACCAUGUACUAUUGAUAACAGUAGGUAAGUGCGUCUCAUUUCCAAGGUGAGACUCCCAAGAAUUGGCCCAACUUUUCGGGAAGUUUGUCUUUUAGAAGAUACUUACUUAAAGAUGCUGAUGAUAAUAAUGCUAAAAGCAACUGUUCAUUCAGUACUUACACUGUGCUAUCAACUUUAUAAAACUCUCAUUGUACUGACUCCUUCCCUCCACUUGAGGCUGCUGGAGUGUGGGCUUGCUUAGGAAUGCUCAUUUCUUCUUUCUAAAUGUUAUCAGUCCCAUCCCCAGCUAGGCUGCAAUCGCUUCAAAGCAAGGGCAGAAAUGUCUGCUUCUUUGCCUCCCCCAAUACUUGGCUUGAUCUCUCGAAAAAGAGUCCAUACAUACUUGUGGGUAUCUGAAUGAUGGCUUUCUAAAUAGGCCAUCCUGGGUUUGGUACAGUCAGGAGGAAACAGAGAAAGUUCCCAUAGGUAGAAAUCUGCCUGUUGAAGUGUCUGAGUCUAUUCAGUAUAAUAAUUUGCAAAAGCUGCUGUGAACUGCAGCUGUGAACACAUUUCUUGUUAGUGGCUGCCACUUCUGUUUUUAAGUUCUUCCCAAGAUCCUCAUGGUUGCUGAGGAUCAUGCCAUGCUUCUGCUUUACUGUUUUUUUUUUUUUUAAAUGAGCCUCUCUCCCCCAUUUAUUUGAUAGCAUUUAUAUCACCAUGAGCUGUAUAUUUUAUUUAUUUAUUUAUUUAUUUAUUUAUUUAUGUUGUCACACUCAUGGCAUGAGAAAGUUCCCGGGCCAGGGAUCAAACCCGCGCCACAGCAGUGACAACACUGGAUCCUUAACCCACUGAGCCAUCAGGGAGCUCUAGUCUGCACCUGGCCCGUACACAGGACUUUUGUUUUUGUGUUUCCUACUUUGUGCUCUUGGGUGUUCCCUCCCUUUCCUGUUUCUUAAAAAUGUAGCCAUGGAAAAGCUACAAUCAGUAAGCUCUUUGACUGAGGUUUCCUGGUUUUCAUGUGACUUUGAAAAUUUUGUUCAUUGAAGGUAGUCGUAAAAUGUGGGUACUGAGAGUAUUUGGCAUUAAUUAGGCAGUUUUAUAUUUGUGAAUAAAACUGGUAGGAGAUCACAGCUUACCUGAAUAAAAUGAUGUCCUCUCAGCUUAGCACCAUAAUAGAGUUUGAAAAUAAUAGUAAAAAAGGAAGCAGUCCAAACAGAAUAAUUUAAAAGUUUCGUCCUGGGGAAACUUUUCACAUUUUUAUUUUGCCCUAGAAUAGUAGUUCAUAAAGAUCGUCAUCUUUGGUUUGGUUUAGAGCUUGGUUUUGAGAGUGUACACAAUUUCCCAGAGUUGCUUAUGUUUAUUUAAGGUUUCCUUCUGAGCAGGGGUUUGUGCUAAGCCCUGGUCAAAUGUUCAUGCAUCUUUAAGGAAUCUGAGCCUGAUCUGAGAAUCUUUGCUCUAAUUUAAGGUGUCAAAUUAGAGAUAUUACAACGUAAGAGAACUGGAAUUGAUGAACAAUGAUAAGCAACCCUAGGUUUUAUUACUGCUUUUACCUAGUUGAUCAUAGGUGAAUCUUAUCAUUAUUAAUGUAGAAAAAUGUAAGAUGUAAAGAUUGAUGUUCCCCCAAGAAGUUCCUGUGUAAACUGUAUAGCCUGAUUAAGAAUAUUACAUGUUGGCAUGAAGAUUAUUAGCCUCUACUUUUACCACCCACAGUGUUUAGGGGAAGCAUUGAGGUUAUCCCUAUUUAGAAUCCCAGAGUUGUUUGUGUGGUCCUGUGGUCCUGUGUUCCUCCGGAACAGCAGCUCUGUGGAAACAUAAAAUCAUGGUAUUUGUAGGAGGAACGAAAAUAUGAUGGAAGCAUGAACAGAACAGUUAGCGAGGUGGAGAAUCAAGGACGUGGGUUGUGUGACUGGUUAAUUUCUUGUCUCACUUGAUUGGGCUUUCGGAAAAAUUGAGAAAGUUGUUUUUCCAGCCUGAGAGCUGAGUUACUUUUUGGAUCUGGACAAGUCACUGUAUAUUCACAAGGAGUAUUUGAAAAAUGAGAAAGGUUCCUGGUAGCCAUUAGCUUUUACAUUCCUCUUCAUCUUUUACAAAACUCAGGGGCUUUAACAGUCUCCUUAACAGAAUUGGAGGAUAAAAUAUCCAUGAUCUCUAUUCUAGAAGACUCCAGAAUUGGGUCUUAGAACAUUAUAUGUUAAGUGGGUUAACUAGAAUAGUGGAUAAAAAAAUUUGGUGUAACUUUUUUAGAUGGGUGACUUUAAGUUAUAGGUGGUGAUGGAGUUCUCUUGUGGCUUGGCAGGUUAAGGAUCUGGUAUUGUCACUGCUGUGGCACAGGUUCCAUCCCUGGCCCCAGGAAAUUUCACAUGCUGCAGGCAUGGCCAAAAAAAAAAAAAAAA